rnacentral:lncRNA from 1 species
GGGAGGGCGCCGGCCACGGGAGGUUCCGAAGCAAGAGAGCGACGGAGCGCGCCCUCAGCCUACCUCGAACAAGUCGAAGUCUCCCCCAAGGAACCCCCGAUCGGCGGGGCUGCCGCCGCGGCACAAGGCGCUAAAACCACGUUGGUGGACUCUAGCAGUCGACCCGACAGCCGUUGGUCCUCGAGACACCGCGCGCCCACCGCUGGAGAAGGCAGGAGCCCCGCCGCCCCCGGCGCCCACCGCGGGACGCUCCGCGCCUGCGCCCCGCCCCCCCUCCGCCCGCCGGGACUCCGCCCGCGCGUGCGCGCUGCGGAGUUUUCGCGCCACUGGACUCUAGGAGGCGGGGCCGGAAGUGCCCCCUGGGCGGACAGUGGGGAUGCUGGGAGGGGCGCCGGGGCUCUGCGACUGUGGGACGCGUGGAGCGGGGCGGGGCGGGUGAGUUGCCUAACUGAAAGCCGGGAGAAAAAAAAAAAAAAAACACCCUGGAACCCCCACGGCGGCUACAGUUCCGCGCAUGCGUACAGCGACUGGCUGGGCGCUGCCGCGGAGUGUGCAGCCGCGGUGUGUGCAGCCGCGGUCGCGGAAAGGCGGAAGUCACUUCCCGGAAGAGGCGGAGCCGGGUGGCUGAGGCGCCGGAUUCAAGUGGUUUCCGGGAGCCUUCUGGGCUUGAGUGCUAAGCCUCAGAAGUCUAGGCUUUGCCUGGGGAGGGAAAAAGGAAGUUUUCGUUUUCUUUCUUUCUUUUUUUUGAGUAGAGGAACAUUUAGAAACUUGGAGACAGCAGUAGUUAGAAUUCAGACCAAACUGAUAAAUGACAGAAAGGCGUCUUUCAAAAACCAAGGAAGCAGGCUUGUCCCGGUAAGUCCCGCGCGGAUCUGUAGAGAGACGGCCCCGCCCAGACCCCUCUACCCACUCCUUUGCAAUCUGGGGGCGAUUGCAAGCUGGUUGGGGGCGAGCUCUAUGUUCGUGUCCCUAUCUCGCCCGCUCCUCCUCCCAGGACACCGCCCAUGGUUCUCUCUGGGUCCAGUAGGACCGCGUCCCGGAACUCCCGGCCGGGCCCCGGCUCUCCGAGCCCGGGGUCUCCCUGCCUCCCGCGCGCGCUCGCCCCCGCGUGGGAGAUGUCCGCCGCCGCUAAGCGCAGAGCCGAGGCCCUGGGUCCCGAAUGGUCUCGCCCGGGCCCGGUGGGGCAAAGUCCCACGCCUGGUGCAAGACCAUCCUGGGCGAGCCUUUCUCGAUCACCCUAUGGGCACACUUAGGUGUUCCUCCUUUUCGGUGUUAACUCUGUGUUUGAAAAUAACUUCCUUUGUAGCAAUUACCUUAAGGCUUUGUGGUUGUUUAUAUAUACAAACUUUCUUUCCCGCCCCCACCAGCUCGUGCCUGGUUUACAUUGUAAACCCUCUCAAUAAACAUCCGAACUAA